UCAAAGUUCUGCCAUUGCAACCAUAGAGAAGAUGAUUCAAGAAAAUAACUAUAGGCAUGUUAUAUAUAAUAUGCAUGGUCAAACUGGAAAAGAGAGGCACAGUGAAAAUAUAAUUGAAGGAAAGCAAUUUGACACCAUUCAACAACAUAGGGAAAAAGAGUUGUAUAAGAGAAGAGCUUCAUCGAGACAUCCAACCCUAUCCCAGAUGCACCUGGUUUUGUGUGGACGCAAUGCAGCUGUAAAGGCAUCAGCAGCAGACCUGAUAUUCAGCAAGUCA